GAGUUUGAUCCUGGCUCAGGAUGAACGCUGGCGGCGUGCCUAAUACAUGCAAGUCGAGCGAACAGAUAAGGAGCUUGCUCCUUUGAAGUUAGCGGCGGACGGGUGAGUAACACGUGGGUAACCUACCUAUAAGACUGGGAUAACUUCGGGAAACCGGAGCUAAUACCGGAUAAUAUUUAGAACCGCAUGGUUCUAAAGUGAAAGAUGGUUUUGCUAUCACUUAUAGAUGGACCCGCGCCGUAUUAGCUAGUUGGUAAGGUAACGGCUUACCAAGGCGACGAUACGUAGCCGACCUGAGAGGGUGAUCGGCCACACUGGAACUGAGACACGGUCCAGACUCCUACGGGAGGCAGCAGUAGGGAAUCUUCCGCAAUGGGCGAAAGCCUGACGGAGCAACGCCGCGUGAGUGAUGAAGGGUUUCGGCUCGUAAAACUCUGUUAUUAGGGAAGAACAAAUGUGUAAGUAACUGUGCACGUCUUGACGGUACCUAAUCAGAAAGCCACGGCUAACUACGUGCCAGCAGCCGCGGUAAUACGUAGGUGGCAAGCGUUAUCCGG
rnacentral:rRNA from 1 species